GAUGAAGAGGCGGAAGGAUGGAUACUGCCUGACCUGCUGAAUUCCUCCAGCAUUUUGUCUGUGUUCUUGUAGAAUGAAGAUGUUUUGUAAAUAAACUAGGAGUGAUGGAAGGGGCAAGAGUGCCAGAAACCAUGAAACAUGAUUGUGCAC